rnacentral:rRNA from 1 species
AGCGAAUAGAUACCCAGGUAGUCCACGCCGUAAACUAUGGACGCUAGCUGUUAGAAGUAUCGACCCUUCUAGUAGCGAAAGCUAACGCGUUAAGCGUCCCGCCUGUGGAGUACGAGCGCAAGCUUAAAACAUAAAGGAAUUGACGGGGACCCGCACAAGCGGUGGAGCGUGUUGUUUAAUUCGAUGCUAAGCGAAGAACCUUACCCAGGUUUGACAUCCUGCUAAUUUCUCCGAAAGGAGAGAGUGCCUUCGGGCCGCAGUGACAGGUGUUGCAUGGCCGUCGUCAGCUCGUGUCGUGAGAUGUUUGGUUAAGUCCAUCAACGAGCGCAACCCUUUUGUUUAGUUGUAUUUCUC